GACAAAUAUAGAGGCGAAUGCUUGAGCCAAACAUUGACCUGAGAACAAGGUCCCCAUUGCUGGAGUUAGAGAAAGGAUUGAAGGAGCUGAAGGGGGUUGCAAGCCAAUAAAAAGAACAAUACCAACCAACUAGAGCUCCCAGGAAGUAAACCACCAUCCAAAGAGUACACAUGGACAUACCCUUGGCUCUAGCUACACAUGUAGAAGAGAAUGGCCUUGUUGGGCACCAAUUGGAGAAGAAGCCCUUUGUGCUGUCAAGGCUGGACUCCCCACGGAGAGAAGCAUAUUGGAAUAUUAACCAAAGCCUCUGCACAUACUGAAAUUUGAAGCUUCCUUAUAUUCACCCCAUUACCCCAGUUCAUUCUUAAUGUGCUGCAUCUCCCAGAGAGGAAGAAGUAAUUGUCAUAGCUCCAAUUAUCAGUUUCUCCUCCAACCCCUGGAAUCAUUUCAGGAUUUACCUUCAUCAUUCCACUACUUAGCCAGAGUUCCAAUUCCUGUCUGCUGGACAGCUCUUAACUGAAAUGCUUGCAAUAUCAGACCCAGUACCUGAGAGACCUCUAAGAAGGUGUAAUGCUUAUAUUCAACAGCUCUGCCCUAAAAUCCAAGCUCUAAUGGGAAUGGCUGAGAUAAUGAGAUCUACAGUGUCAACAACUUGAUGAUGAGCAUGAGAAUAGUGGAACCACAAAUCCCCGGAACUCUGCAGCCUGACAGCAGCAGUCCCUGACAAUUCCCUGAAAACUUUCUUUUUGAUACAGCUUGUGUAAAAAAAUAAACAGAAGCAGGUGUCUCACAGAAA